rnacentral:rRNA from 1 species
GACGAACGCUGGCGGCGUGCUUAACACAUGCAAGUCGAACGGAAAGGCCCUGCUUGCGUGGGGUGCUCGGGUGGCGAACGGGGGAGUAACACGUGAGUAACCUGCUCUUGACUUUGGGAUAACUUCAGGAAACGGGGGCUAAUACCGGAUAGGAGCUCCUGCUGCAGGGUGGGGGUUGGAAAUUUUCGGCGGUUGGGGUUGGAGUCGCGGCUUAUCAGCUUGUUGGUGGGGUAGUGGCUUACCAAGGCUUUGACGGGUAGCCGGCCGGAGAGGGUGACCGGACACAAUGGGACUGCGAUAAGGAGCAGACUCAGACGGGAGGCAGUAGUCGGGAGUAUUACACAGUGGGAGCAAGCCUGAUGCAGCGACGCCGGGUGCGGGAUGACGGUCUUCGGGUUGUAAACAGCUUUCGCCUGUGACGCAGCGUGAGUGACGGUACUGGGUGAAGAAGCACCGGCUAACUACGUG